CCUACGGGUGGCAGCAGUGGGGAAUAUUGGACAAUGGGGGCAACCCUGAUCCAGCCAUGCCGCGUGUGUGAAGAAGGCCCUCGGGUUGGAAAGCACUUUCAGUGAGGAAGAACGCCUGGUGGUUAAUACCCAUCAGGAAAGACAUCACUCACAGAAGAAGCACCGGCUAACUCCGUGCCAGCAGCCGCGGUAAUACGGAGGGUGCGAGCGUUAAUCGGAAUUACUGGGCGUAAAGCGCGCGUAGGUGGCUUGAUAAGCCGGUUGUGAAAGCCCCGGGCUCAACCUGGGAACGGCAUCCGGAACUGUCAAGCUAGAGUGCAGGAGAGGAAGGUAGAAUUCCCGGAGUAGCGGUGAAAUGCAUAGAGAUCGGGAGGAAUCCCAGUGGCGAAGGCGGCCUUCUGGACUGACACUGACACUGAGGUGCGAAAGCGUGGGUAGCAAACAGGAUUAGAUACCCGUGUAGUC
rnacentral:rRNA from 1 species